UACGGAGGGUGCAAACGUUGCUCGGAAUUAUUGGGCGUAAAGCGCUCGCAGGUGGUCCGUCGCGUCGUGCGUGAAAGCCCCCGGCUCAACUGGGGAGUGUCGUGCGAUACGGGCGGACUGGAGGCCAGUAGGGGGAUGCGGAAUUCCGGGUGUAGUGGUGGAAUGCGUAGAGAUCCGGAGGAACACCAGCGGCGAAGGCGGCAUCCUGGACUGGUCCUGACACUCAUGAGCGAAAGCGUGGGGAGCGAUCCGG
rnacentral:rRNA from 1 species